UGUUCUGUGGCUUAGUUGGCUAGAGCGCCGGUCUAGUGAAUAAGGAGUCGUGGGUUCGAAUCCCACCAGAACGC
rfam:Aedes albopictus isolate Foshan contig31146, whole genome shotgun sequence.